rnacentral:rRNA from 1 species
UGGGGAAUAUUGCACAAUGGGCGAAAGCCUGAUGCAGCAACGCCGCGUGAGGGACGACGGCCUUCGGGUUGUAAACCUCUUUUAGCAAGGAAGAAGCGAAAGUGACGGUACUUGCAGAAAAAGCGCCGGCUAACUACGUGCCAGCAGCCGCGGUAAUACGUAGGGCGCAAGCGUUAUCCGGAAUUAUUGGGCGUAAAGAGCUCGUAGGCGGUUUGUCGCGUCUGCUGUGAAAACCCGAGGCUCAACCUCGGGCCUGCAGUGGGUACGGGCAGACUAGAGUGCGGUAGGGGAGAUUGGAACCCCUGGUGUAGCGGUGGAAUGCGCAGAUAUCAGGAAGAACACCGAUGGCGAAGGCAGAUCUCUGGGCCGUAACUGACGCUGAGGAGCGAAAGGGUGGGGAGCAAACAGGCUUAGAUACCCUGGUAGUCCACCCCGUAACGUUGGGAACUAGUUGUGGGUCCAUUCCACGGAUUCCGUGACGCAGCUAACGCAUUAAGUUCCCCGCCUGGGGAGUACGGCCGCAAGGCUAAAACUCAAAGGAAUUGACGGGGUCAUAGCUGUUUCCU